rnacentral:rRNA from 1 species
GACGAACGCUGGCGGCGUGCUUAACACAUGCCAGUCGAACGGAAAGGCCCUGCUUUUGUGGGGUGCUCGAGUGGCGAACGGGUGAGUAACACGUGAGUAACCUGCCCUUGACUUUGGGAUAACUUCAGGAAACUGGGGCUAAUACCGGAUAGGAGCUCCUGCUGCAUGGUGGGGGUUGGAAAGUUUCGGCGGUGGGGGAUGGGCUCGCGGCCUAUCAGCUUGUUGGUGGGGUAGUGGCUUACCAAGGCUUUGACGGGUAGCCGGCCGGAGAGGGUGACCGGCCACAUUGGGACUGAGGUACGGCCCAGACGCCUACGGGGGGCAGCAGUGGGGAAUAUUGCACAAUGGGCGGAAGCCGGAUGCAGCAGCGCCGCGUGGGGGAUGACGGCCUUCGGGUUGUAAACCGCUUUCGCCUGUGACGAAGCGUGAGUGACGGUAAUGGGUAAAGAAGCACCGGCUAACUACGUG